GACGAACGCUGGCGGCGUGCUUAACACAUGCAAGUCGAACGGAAAGGCCCUGCUUUUGUGGGGUGCUCGAGUGGCGAACGGGUGAGUAACACGUGAGUAACCUGCCCUUGACUUUGGGAUAACUUCAGGAAACUGGGGCUAAUACCGGAUAGGAGCUCCUGCUGCAUGGUGGGGGUUGGAAAGUUUCGGCGGUUGGGGAUGGACUCGCGGCUUAUCAGCUUGUUGGUGGGGUAGUGGCUUACCAAGGCUUUGACGGGUAGCCGGCCUGAGAGGGUGACCGGCCACCUUGGGACUGAGAGACGGCGCAGAAGCCUACGGGACGCAGUAGUGGGGAACCUGGCGCAAUGGCGGGACGCCUGAGGCAGCAACGCCGCGUGCGGGAUGACGGCCUUCGGGUUGUAAACCGCUUUCGCAUGUGACGAAGCGUGAGUGACGGUAAUGGGUAAAGAAGCACCGGCUAACUACGUG
rnacentral:rRNA from 1 species